rnacentral:lncRNA from 1 species
CAGCAUUCACAUUCCAUUCAGCAUAGUCCUGAAAGGUCUGGGUCUGGUUCUGUUGGAAAUGGAUCUAGUCGAUACAGUCCUUCUCAGAAUAGUCCAAUUCAUCACAUCCCUUCACGAAGAAGUCCUGCAAAGACAAUCGCACCACAGAAUGCUCCAAGAGAUGAGUCUAGGGGCCGUUCCUCGUUUUAUCCUGAUGGUGGAGAUCAGGAAACUGCAAAGACUGGGAAGUUCUUAAAAAGGUUCACAGAUGAAGAGUCUAGAGUAUUCCUGCUUGAUAGGGUCCCCCUCUACACAAGAAUCUGGAUGCACGAGAAAAGUCUACCUUCAGAGAGGAAAGCCCACUUAGGAUCAAAAUGAUAGCGAGUGAUUCUCACCGUCCUGAAGUCAAACUCAAAAUGGCACCUGUUCCUCUUGAUGAUUCUAACAGACCUGCUUCCUUGACUAAAGACAGGCUGCUUGCUAGUACACUUGUCCAUUCUGUCAAGAAGGAGCAAGAAUUCCGAUCCAUCUUUGACCACAUUAAGUUGCCACAGGCCAGCAAAAGCACUUCAGAGUCAUUUAUUCAACACAUUGU